UACGGAGGGUGCAAGCGUUAUCCGGAUUCACUGGGUUUAAAGGGUGCGUAGGAGGGCAGGUAAGUCAGUGGUGAAAUCCCCCGAGCUUAACUUGGGAACUGCCGUUGAUACUAUCUGUCUUGAAUGCUGUGGAGGUGAGCGGAAUAUGUCAUGUAGCGGUGAAAUGCAUAGAUAUGUCACAGAACACCGAUUGCGAAGGCAGCUUACUAUGGUCUUAUUGACGCUGAGGCACGAAAGCGUGGGGAUCAAACAGG
rnacentral:rRNA from 1 species